rnacentral:lncRNA from 1 species
AAAAAGCAGUUUAUUUCUUGUAAUGGAACACAAACAAGUUUGUUAAGUAUGAACACACGGUCAGAGUUUUUUCUUCUGCUACCCUCCUCUGAGCCUCUGCAUUAGGGUCUUCCUAGUCCUGUUUCUCCCUCUUACCAAACAUUAUGUUCGAACCCGGUGAGGGAGAUGGCACAGAGAAAAGCAGCGUGUCUGAAGGCACAGAACAUGAACAUGUUUCCCAGCACAGUGCUGAAGUAUUAAUCUGUUAAUAACUGUGACCCAGUCAUUAAGCAGGAGCAACUUGCUGUCUGUACAUCCACCUCUUAAUGAGCAUUGUUCCUCUUCUUCUCACCUGAUUUUUACAGAUGCAGCCCUACCCACACCAGCAAGAGACAGCCAUUUAGCUUCAUGUACAAGAUUUGCCUCAGCAUCCCAAAGCCUGAACAGCAGAAGAAAAUACCUGUUGUUUUAAGCCUCUGAAAUAAAGUCAUCACUUGCACUUGGCAUGGUGUUGUCUGAGUGAAAUACAAGGUGAAAGAUAGUUCAUGCUUUACGUAAUUCUGUGGCAAAUCAUUUAGAGACUUUUAAACUAGAGUGGCAGCCUGCUUUUGGGGUCCUGUUGCAACAGAUAAACCUCACUGUAACCUCUCCUUUGCUUUACAGUAAUGCUCCACAAUUGCUCUGCAGAAGUCUCCCUGCAUCUGUCUUGUCAGAUUACUUAAAGGUUCCCAUAUUCUGCCUGAAAGAUUGUGACAAAGUGCACUGCAUCUGGACUGUCCGAGACAGAGGAAAUGCAUUUCCAGCCACUCUGGCCACACAAUUGAGAUUAGACCAGAACUUCAAACCUGAGCUGAUCAAAAGGUUCUCCUCUUCUGUGUCAGCAGAUCACUGGAGACUGGCUUGUCCAUUGUAGUGUGAGUAGAUGUCCUUCUAAAUACUGGCUUAAGCCAUGGAACAGCCAUCAAAAUGCUGCUUUUGGCAACCUACGUUCUUGCUCUGGGGCAGGUAAAAGCCUGCUUUAUCUGACUAUUCAAGAAAUCAACCUCACUGCUCUGUGCAGAAGAAGUCCUGCUGCCUGCUCCAUUCUCUCCUGUGGUCCCCACCAUGAUGUCUGGGAGGAGACAUCCUCCUUUAUUAAUCAGUGCUUUUUUAGCAGAGACUAUGAAUAUGUCCUUGGACUACAAGCUGGCGCACUGUAAUCAGAGUUGAGAUCCUCAGGCAAUAACCUUCUGAAAAUCUAGGCCUUAUUAUCAGAAAAUUUGGAAAAAAAAUGCUGAAAAACAUGAUUCCUGACACCAGGCAAAUUCAUGACAGUCACCUACACCAUAUAACCAGAAGGUAAAAUAUAUCGAAGUAGUGCAAGAAAGUUUCAGAAAGACACAAUGUUCCUCAUAUAUCUUCAGGGUCUAUUGGGAUUUUAUUAGGCUUCCUGAAAAAAAAAAAAAAAAAAAAAAAAAAAA